GUUUCACCGUGUUAGCCAGGAUGGUUUCCAUCUCCAGACCUCGUGAUCCGCCCGUCUCGGCCUCCCAAAGUGCUGGGAUUACAGGCUUGAGCCACCGCGCCCGGCCUGGAUAUGUAGUUUUGCUCUUCACCUGCUUCCCCGGAGUCUCCAACUAUAUGAGAAAAUCAGCACAGAAAAAGGUAAUGUAGAUGACUUCUCUCUUUGUCUCGGGAGAGAAUCUCAGGGAGUGCUUGGAUACAUCCGGAGAGAGCCCUGCAGCUGCAGCUCCUGACAUGGGUCCUGGAAAUGGCUAGAAUCUGUCCUGAACUCUUGGCAUCUUCUGAUACUCAACAAUAGAGAAUGGCGUGAAUAUCAUCCGGCUGCCCUACACAAUAUUGUCUAGACUAUGGGUAGCUAAACAAUCUACUUGCAAUUAAUAGUAAAAAAAAUAAAAACUAGGUUCUGAUUAAGUAUUCUGCUGUAUUUUGCUAGAAUAUUGGCUACUUAAUGUUUUCCAUAUAAUUAUUAAGUAAAUAUUCUGAUAUGGCCCAUCUCUAUUCUGA